CCUAACACAUGCAAGUCGAACGGUAACAGGAAGAAGCUUGCUUCUUUGCUGACGAGUGGCGGACGGGUGAGUAAUGUCUGGGAAACUGCCUGAUGGAGGGGGAUAACUACUGGAAACGGUAGCUAAUACCGCAUAACGUCGCAAAACCAAAGAGGGGGACCUUCGGGCCUCUUGCCAUCGGAUGUGCCCAGAUGGGAUUAGCUUGUUGGUGGGGUAACGGCUCACCAAGGCGACGAUCCCUAGCUGGUCUGAGAGGAUGACCAGCCACACUGGAACUGAGACACGGUCCAGACUCCUACGGGAGGCAGCAGUGGGGAAUAUUGCACAAUGGGCGCAAGCCUGAUGCAGCCAUGCCGCGUGUAUGAAGAAGGCCU
rnacentral:rRNA from 1 species